GUCGGAUUCGUUAACUACAGCGCCACGACGGGAACUCCAGCAGGGAGUUUUUUAAACAAGUUUGACCUUCAGGUAAUCAAAUAAUAAUAGUGAUAAAACCUCUUCACAGACAUUAUCUCCUCUGACCCUCUCACCAGGAUGGCUUUUUUUUUUUUUUAAAGGCACAGAGAAGAGAGAUAUAAGCCCACAGCAGUACAGGGAGUGGCGAGCCAAGGAAUAGGGUCUGUGUGCACGUGGGUUCCUUUCUGCCGCCCUCAGAGACGGGCCCAGUAAGUAGCAAGCAACUCUCCGGCCAUCUGGCUGUCCUGCUCACAUAUCUGCUUUCCCCUGAAGGGCCUUGGCACCCGUUUAAAGCAGGCGAGAGUGUGAAAGUGUGCCGUCUGGAAGUUGAAGGGUGUUUGGUUCCCGUUUGCAAAAACUGUGGGGCAGAGGACUUAUUGCCAAGUAAUUUGGAAUUUGAACAAAAAUUCCAGGAAGUCAGAGGCUGGGUAAUGUGAGUGGCGGGGAAAGAAUGCACCUCUUCCUGACCCCAAGUUGCCUGGUCACAGACCUAGGUCAAGGGAGCACAGACCUCAUUGCCUCUGAGCCAUCUUCAGAGCCCUUCAGGGUGGGCAGGGAGGGGCACAUCUCGGGCUAAAAAGGCCUGAAAAGUUUCCUGACCUUGGCGUAAUUCAGACUCUUGGGGAAGUGGACAAGCAUGGAAGGCUGGGAGACUGAGCUUUGUUCAGUUCCAGCUCCAUCUCUUACUGCCUGGAUGACCUUGGGGAUGAUAAUAACAUCUACCUCUCAACAUUGUCGAGAGGUUUCAAAGAGAUGCUAAGGCACUGAGCACCCUGCCCGGACAUAAAUAAGUCUGCUAACUCCGCUAUUCAUCAGAGCCUGGAACUGGACACCAGGGAAGGCCCCUGCACCAGAACCCCCUGGGAGUGGCACCUGCUGAACUGGAAUCUGCAGGGGGCCCAGCAACACGAAUGGAUAUUUUAACCAGCUUCCAGGGUGACGACUUCACACUACACAUUUGGGGAACUCUCUCCCCUCCUGGCUGUGGGGUGUGGCCCUGUGACAGACCAAGUCAGCCAGCCUCAUCAAGGUGGAACACGGAGACCCUAGACCUUGAGUGACCAGCCUAAGGCCACAGCGCAGCAGGCGAGUGGAGGACAGAAGAGCCAAGAGAAGUGGUGGCUCAAUUUCCCAGAAGUGGGCAGGAGGGAGGAUGGGGUCCCUUUCAGAGAGGCUGGUGUGGGCACACAUACCCUUAACUGCCACCAGCUGGAAGUACUAGGACAGGUAGCCCCCCUGUGGCCUGAACCCUCAGCAUCCUGAGAAGCACAGAAGGGCCAUUCUGGGGCCAAGCAGAGGCUGCCACCACCUCAGUGGCCCUCGGGGCAAGCGCCCAGCAGUUCCCAGGCCGAGGCUCCCAGCUCCCUCCCAGCAGAGGACAAUUGCUCCAUUGGCCAGGGUGGGGGAGAGGAGAUUCGCUGGCCCCCGCCCGGCCCAGCUUCUCCCCACCCGAACCCGCUCCUUAAUGAGGCCAUUGUUUGCCCAGGGUUCCCCGUACAGCAGGACCCCCACCCCUGGCACUCCUGCCCUGGGUUUCCCCUCAGCGGUCCUGCCCUCCAGGACCUCCUGGGGGCUUCCUGACUUCCUCUCUUGCACUAGGAGCACAAAGGGCCCUGGGGCCUCUCUGACCUCCAGUUCCCCUCCCAGGGCCACUCACUUCCCUCUCCCAGCCUCUGUUUUUUAAAUUAAUCAAAGAUGCAUGGACCGCCAAUUGACUUCUGUUCAGCCUGAGAGAAGGAGUUCCAUCCUGAGAGCGUGUAAUUCCAGCCAAAAGCAAAGAAAUCUGCUGUUUUAUUUACGGGCAAAUGAACCAUUCUAUGUUGAUUUGGGGAAACAUGGAGAAUAGCUUAUCAAGCUUUGUAACGCCUCCCCAGACCCUGGGUGGUCAGGAAUCAGCAGAAUAGAGAACAGCUUUCAGCAGAAACAUUUCAUUUCCCAAGAGCCCCCAUGCAGCCACAGCCGGGGCUGAGAGAGGGGCACGU